rnacentral:rRNA from 1 species
UACGUAGGGCGCGAGCGUUGUCCGGAAUUAUUGGGCGUAAAGAGCUCGUAGGCGGCUUGUUGCGUCUGCUGUGAAAUCCCGGGGCUUAACCCCGGGCGUGCAGUGGAUACGGGCAGGCUGGAGGCAGGCAGGGGAGAACGGAAUUCCCGGUGUAGCGGUGAAAUGCGCAGAUAUCGGGAGGAACACCGGUGGCGAAGGCGGUUCUCUGGGCCUGUACUGACGCUGAGGAGCGAAAGCGUGGGGAGCGAACAGG